rnacentral:rRNA from 1 species
UACGUAGGGUGCAAGCGUUAAUCGGAAUUACUGGGCGUAAAGCGCACGUAGGCGGGUCGUUAAGUCAGGGGUGAAAUCCCGGAGCUCAACUCCGGAACUGCCUUUGAUACUGGCGAUCUAGAGAUCGAGAGAGGUGAGUGGAAUUCCGAGUGUAGAGGUGAAAUUCGUAGAUAUUCGGAAGAACACCAGUGGCGAAGGCGACUCACUGGACACGUAUUGACGCUGAGGUGCGAAAGCGUGGGGAGCAAACAGG